UUGCCUACGGGAGGCAGCAGUGAGGAAUAUUGGUCAAUGGACGCAAGUCUGAACCAGCCAUGUCGCGUGCAGGAAGACGGCUCUAUGAGUUGUAAACUGCUUUUGUACGAGGGUAAACGCAGAUACGUGUAUCUGUCUGAAAGUAUCGUACGAAUAAGGAUCGGCUAACUCCGUGCCAGCAGCCGCGGUAAUACGGGGGAUUCAAGCGUUAUCCGGAUUUAUUGGGUUUAAAGGGUGCGCAGGCGGUCUGUUAAGUCAGCGGUCAAAGCCCGGGGCUCAACCCCGGCCCGCCGUUGAAACCGGCG
rnacentral:rRNA from 1 species